rnacentral:rRNA from 1 species
GAUGAACGCUGGCGGCGUGCCUAAUACAUGCAAGUCGAGCGAACAGAUGAGGAGCUUGCUCCUCUGACGUUAGCGGCGGACGGGUGAGUAACACGUGGAUAACCUACCUAUAAGACUGGGAUAACUUCGGGAAACCGGAGCUAAUACCGGAUAAUAUCUUUAACCGCAUGUUUCAAUAGUGAAAGACGGAUUUGCUGUCACUUAUAGAUGGAUCCGCUCCGCAUUAGCUAGUUGGUAAGGUAACGGCUUACCAAGGCAAGGAUGCGUAGCCGACCGGAGAGGGGGAUCGGCCAAACUGGAACUGAGACACGGUCCAGACUCCUACGGGAGGCAGCAGAAGGGAAUCUUCCGCAAUGGGCGAAGGCCUGACGGAGCAACGCCGCGGGAGGGAUGAAGGUUUUCGGAUCGUAAAACUCUGUUAUUGGGGAAGAACAAAUGUGUAAGGAAAUAUGCACGUCUUGACGGUACCUAAUCAGAAAGCCACGGCUAACUACGUG